AUGUCAAAUCAAUUCCCAAAUAGCCUAACAAAAAUAUUUACAAAGAAAAUAUUCGCAAAGAACUUGUCUUUGCGGGAGUCAUUUACAAGUUAUUUACAUAUUCACAGGUCUUUUACUGUACUUGUGAUAAAUCUGUACAAACCCAAAUACGUAGAUGGAUUUCGUAAUAAAUCCUGAAGAAGACGCGGGACUGAUUCAGGAUUUUCAUACAAACUAAUCAAUUCAUCCAUUAGCAGAAGGCGCUGAAUGCCAAAGGAUGAGCAAUUAAAGAUGAUAUGAGACAAAGUUUGUUCUUCGUGUGAGUCACAAAAAUCACAGUGGGCAUGGUCUGCCAUCCUCAUACGAUAAAGGUGUGAAUUAAGUCUAGAAUGACCAAAGCGAAGACGACUAAUAAUGGAAUAAAAUUUUCUGUCAACAAAAUGACGACUUCUGCAAAACCAUGGGAUUGUAUUAACUUCGACAUUAAGCUCGGCAAACCAUAAGCCUUUAUUUUCUAUCUGUAUGACCUGCUGAGAAUGCCUCUUCCACCUGUCACACAUUCUUUGCUUCAAAAUUAAGCCCACAUCUGAACAAGGAAAGAUUGUGUGUAAAAGUUACUCCCAAGAACUUAGCCUCACCUGCCAUAGGAAGAAUGGCAUGGUUGAAGCGAACAACUGGCCCAUUUCCAGACCUUUUUCCAAAAACUAUAACUUUGGAUUUUAAGGGAUUGACCUCCAAAUUAAGAUAAAAAGAUAUUGAUCCAAUCUACAAGCUUGCCAGGAAUGCCGAUGGAUAAUAAUUCACUGCUGAGAACGGAAAUAUUAACAUUAUUAAAAGCUCCAGAAAUGUCAAAGAAAACUGCUAAUAGAUAUUUGUUGCUUACUAAAGCUGCUUGAACAUCCAAAUGAAGCUGACAUAUACUUUCACGAGCGGAGCGCCCACGCCGGAAACCGAAUUGAUUAGAAGGGAGAUGAUAACUGCCUAGUGGAUCGUCAUGAAGGAACCAUUCACAAAAAGGAGCCAAACUAGGUGAGACCAAAGAUAAAUCAAGUGCAUUGGGACGCCAUGUCAGAGAACCAGUUGUUGUUGUUUGACCAUCAUUUAACAGAACCAGAUUAUUAUUAUCAAUUAUUUCCAGUACAUCUCUACCUUUAGGCUGAGUGUCAACGCAACCCCACGACAUGUGGUGUGCGUUAAAGUCGCCAGCAAAUAUCAUAGGGGCCGGAAUAGACUUGACAAGUGCAUCAAGUUUAUAUUUGUCAAAAGCAGGAAUGGAGUUGGUAGGACUAUAAAAACUAACAAUACUUAACUCUUUGUUAUUUAUCUGUAUUCUUACACAAAUGUUCUGUAUAGAAUUAUCAAAAUUUGUAAUUAUUUUAUGAUAAGAAAUGCUGUUAUGUAUUAAAAUUGCAACUCCAUUAUGUUUAUUACCACAAUCAUUUCUUUCCACUUGGUAUCCUCCGACACUAAACCUUAUGUCAGGUUUCAACCAGGUUUCGGAAAUGAUUGCAAUAUGUAUAUUAAAAUUAUAUAAAAAUUGAGUCAGCCCUAAUUUAUUAUUAGCUAUACUUUGUGCAUUCCACUGUACAAUAUUUAAACAAUCCAUUAUGUAGCUAUUUAUUGUUUGGUCUUUUUAGAAAAAGUUUGUAACAAAGUUUCACGUAUUGACCCAGAAUUUAUGGGAGUAUCUUUACUUUUAUUUGUCAAUAUUUUAGUUAUAGUCUCAACAAUGAGAUUUAAAAAUACAUCCGAUUUAGAUAAGUUUAAAAUCUGAGAAUCUAUUGAUUUGGCAGUCAAGUGUGGAAAUUGCUUUUCACUGAAUAAAUCAGAGUACCUAACUGA
rnacentral:lncRNA from 1 species